GCAAACAGGAUUAGAUACCCUGGUAGUCCACGCCGUAAACGAUGUCGAUUUGGAGGUUGUGCCCUUGAGGCGUGGCUUCCGGAGCUAACGCGUUAAAUCGACCGCCUGGGGAGUACGGCCGCAAGGUUAAAACUCAAAUGAAUUGACGGGGGCCCGCACAAGCGGUGGAGCAUGUGGUUUAAUUCGAUGCAACGCGAAGAACCUUACCUGGUCUUGACAUCCACAGAACUUUCCAGAGAUGGAUUGGUGCCUUCGGGAACUGUGAGACAGGUGCUGCAUGGCUGUCGUCAGCUCGUGUUGUGAAAUGUUGGGUUAAGUCCCGCAACGAGCGCAACCCUUAUCCUUUGUUGCCAGCGGUUAGGCCGGGAACUCAAAGGAGACUGCCAGUGAUAAACUGGAGGAAGGUGGGGAUGACGUCAAGUCAUCAUGGCCCUUACGACCAGGGCUACACACGUGCUACAAUGGCGCAUACAAAGAGAAGCGACCUCGCGAGAGCAAGCGGACCUCAUAAAGU
rnacentral:rRNA from 1 species